AUGAGAGGUAAUAGGAUACAGUGAAUGGAUCACUCACCCUUAUUGUACCAGAACUCAUAUCACUAUAAUAUGCAAUGUUAUUAUUUGUUAUUCAGAUAUGGAAUGGUAUGAAAAGCAGGGUGAGAAUCUACGCCACAUCGACUGCGGCAGAGGACCUACCAACCUUCCUAAAGGACACCAACUCUAGCACUAACGAGCUGAUGAGCGUUGGAGCAGAGCCGGGUAGAAUUCUUAUGCAUUGAGAAGCUGCGAGCAUGCGAAGCAUUCUUGCAGCAAGUGAAUGCUGGCAGGGUGCAGGCUGAGGCAGCUAUUAUUUCUGUCAAAACAGAUGAUCUGCAUGCCCAAUCCGUAGCUGCUAUUUGCAAAGCAAUUACCGAGUUGGUGCCUGCAGUUAACCUUUUUGAUAGAAUAUUUAACAAGAAUGACAGACUUCUUUGAAGAAUCAAAAGCAAGCUCGCUCUGGAAAUGAAGGAUGAUUUGGGGUAGAU